rnacentral:rRNA from 1 species
GACGAACCGUGCGACCGUUGUUCGGAAUCACUGGGUUUAAAGGGCGCGUAGGCGGGCUGUCAAGUCGGUGGUGAAAUCGUUCCGCUCAACGGGACAAUGGCCUUCGAUACUGGCGGUCUGGAGGGAGGUAGGGGCAUGCGGAACUUCCGGUGGAGCGGUGAAAUGCGUAGAGGUCGGAAAGAACACCAACGGCGAAAGCACUCUGCUGGGCCGACACUGACACUGAGAGACGAAAGCUAGGGGAGCGAAUGGG